rnacentral:rRNA from 1 species
AUUGAACGCUGGCGGCAGGCUUAACACAUGCAAGUCGAGCGAGCGGCGGACGGGUGAGUAAUGUCUGGGAAAUUGCCUGCUGGAGGGGGAUAACUACUGGACACGGUAGCUAAUACCGCAUACCAUCAGAUGUGCCCAGAUGGGAUUAGCUGGUAGGUGGGGUAAUGGCUCACCUAGGCGACGAUCCCUAGCUGGUCUGAGAGGGUGACCCGCAACACGGGGACAGUGACACGGGCCAGCCGCCUACGGUAGGCAGGAGUGGGGAAUGUUGCGCAAUGGGGGCAAGCGUGAUGCAGCCAUGCCGCGGGUGUGAAGAAGGCCUUCGGGUUGUAAAGCAGUGUCAGCGAGGAGGCGUGACUCGCAGAAGAUGCACCGGCUAACUCCGUGCCAGCCGCCGCGGUAAUAC